GCUGAUAUUUUGAAUGCUUGCCCAGUCCAAAAAAAAUAAAAUAAAAUAAAUAUAUAUUCAGUAGAGCGAGGGCGAGCGACUAGAUUAGGAAUGGCUAUGCCACGAUUCCCUCAAGCUGUAUCGAAUGAAAACUCAGAGAUAAAUCCACACACCCAUACAAAAAAAACACACACAGUGCUGGUCAGAUUAAAACCCUAACCGGUGAAAAUGUUUUUCCCUCUUUCCAUCAAGCCUCUUUCAGUUGGCCGUCAGAGUAAACCCUAACCCAUAAAGAAGAAACCCUAAAUCUGGAAUCCUCCAUUAGAGACGCGAAGGUGUGUUCGGUGAUUUGCAGACGACCGCUGCUGCUAGGAUUGUUUCCAAUCUAUUUUUCUCUCUAUUUAUACACGUAUGUGUGUGUGUGUGUGUGUUCGCAAAACUUACUCGGUUGAUUAAAAUGGAUACAUAAAUUUUGAUUCUUAUUCUUCUCACCACUCAUCUAUGCGAUUUUGAUGUUAGAGUUGGGCUAGAGGAGUUCAAUUUUUGAAGAGGAUGCGUACGAACAGGAUGCUGAACCAAAUGACCGAAAAAUUAGGAAGCUUUGUGAUUAUGCUUUGAAAAAUCCAUUACGAAUACCAAAGAUUACUGAUUACCUAGAGCAGAGAUUUUAUAAGGAUUUGAGGAAUGAGCAUUUUGGCUCCGUAAAAGUUGUGCUUUGCAUUUAUAGGAAAUUGUUAUCAUCAUGUAACGAGCAGAUAAUGUGCUUCAUCUUCAUUUUGGUGAGCUUUAAAUCUUGUUUGGAAAGUUUGUUUCUCAGGUCAAAGCUAGGAUUGCGACUUGCAGUUGCCGUUACUUUUUUUGUUGCCGCUAUAUUUUUUGUAUGGCUCAUGAAGAAGUUGCAAGAAGAUAUGAAGAAUUUUUGUUUUAUUUUGGUAAAGUAAAUAUAUAAGAUGUGGAUCAUGUACUUUUUUGAAAUUUGUAUAUGGUUAAUUUUUGUAUAAAACAAUGAUUUGGAAUUGAUUAUAUAUAUAUAUCUAUGAUGUUAUUGGUCAGUUGUAAAUUAAUUUGGUUAUCAUGUUAUAUUUUAUUUAUUUAUGGUUUGCUUCUCAGGUGCAAGGCUAGUAGAAGGGAAACAAAAAAAAAAAAAAAAAGGCUUCGUAAGGGCUACACUAUUUUAAAAAAAAAUAAAUUAUAUAACACUUUCUACCACGGUUAUGCACCGUGGUAGAAAGUCUAUUUUUCUACCGCGGUUCCGCACCGUGAUAGAAAGUCGUUCAGAAAACACUACAAGAAAAUUGACUUUUUACUACGGUAGAAAAGGCUUUCUACCACGGUUUUGAACUAUAGUGAAAACGGCUGUGAUAAUA